rnacentral:rRNA from 1 species
UCCGAUGAAGAACGGCAAAAUGCGCGAUUUAUUGCUGUUGUGCGAGUAUAUAUGAAUCGUCGAGAUUUUGGAUAUU